UUUUUCCCCUUUCGCUCCUCUUUUCUUUGUUUCUCAGUUCUGCCGCCGGGUGCCCCCGUCCUUUCUCUGGUUCGAUCUGCCUCCAGUGGAGAGGAGAUCGGCAUGCUCGCCGUACUCUCGCCGUUCUGCUGUCCGCCGCCAAGACCGCCGGCCGCUGUUCCUCCGCGUGUCGCUGCUUCGGCUCGCGCCCGUGGGCGGAUUAGUGCUGCUUCUUUCGUCCGUGCCCGCCAUGGAAUUUUCUCUCUUACCUUCUAACCCUGGCCGAUCUCCACCUCCACCGCUCUCCCUACCCUAGCCCCCUGCCUUGGCCUGUUCCCCGCCCUGAUCCCCCCGAUGUGGCCGCCUCUCGCUCAGCGGCGGCUGACUGUCCGAGGAGCCGGCGGUCGCGGCCCGGGUCCGCUCCUCCUCCUACAUCUCUGCCGCGACGGCGGGGUUCCUCCAUCCCUCCGCGUUCUAGUCCCUCGACAAGACAUCGGGCGCCGAAACCAGUAGUGCCGCCGCCGGCAGGUCGGCCUCGGCGGUGGCACAUCGACACGCUAAUAUUGCCAAGAGGAGAUUUCCAGCGUCAGAAGACACCUUACCGGCCACUGCAUCGCCCGCACGGCCGCACCGCCUGCGAUCGCGCUUCCGCUCUCCUUGGACAUGCUGGUAUGCGCCCGCCGCCGGGGUCGAGCAGCGUCCGCGGGGAAACCUCAAGUGCGCGUCGCCGGACGUCGCCCCUGUGCCUUGGGCGACCUCCACGGCGAAAAGAUUUCCCGUCGGCCACGAACGCCACGCCGCGGCUGGGGUCGUGGCUGCUGGAAGACGAUGCCGCCGCCGUGGAGGAGGGGCCGGGCCGGGCCGACCUCAGGCGCGACGCCUCAGUAGGGUCGUGGUCGCUGGAAGACGUGGCCGCCAUGGAGGAGGGGCGGGCGCGGCGCGGAGCUGGCAGCCAUGGGGGCGUGAGGAGCCACGCCGGCCGUCCUCCGGUGGGGGUGGCACAUGUAGCAGCACCGCGUUGCUCCUCCGUGAACCGCAAUCGUCGUCGCCUGGGUCGGGUGUACUGUCGAUGCGUCACAAAGUCGCACCUGGAGGAGCCAAGUUGUUGUGCUCUAACACGGUCGACGCCAGGCACAACAUCUUCCUGGUGACUCCAUGACGACGAGCACGGUGUGCGCGAGCGCAACGGUUAAUCUGGCGACUACCGGCGCGGGAACUCCGGCGUGCAGGUGAACCAUCCUUUCCCCGCCUUCCUUCCUUCCCUCCCUUGAUCUGCUCAUAUCUUCUGUCUUUUAUUUGACCUUUUCAGUUCAGUCAUACAGGCAAUAGCGUGUACAGAUUCUGAACCGAACGAUUUUCUUAAGCAGCAUACAUGGAGUAGUAAUGCUAAGAAUUGGUAGAUUAGACGUGAAUGGUCAAAGCAUUAGCAAUGAAAAAGCCCAACUAUUUGUCCAGACUAGAAUGAAACGAUCAGUUCUGCACUUCUGCCUUUGCCUUUUCACCAUCUCAUUGAAGCACAAAAGAAAAAUAAAAUAGCUUCUUGCUCUCAGGCGUUGCAUGACUAAUCUGAAACCUGAACUUUAUAUCUCUCUGACGACGAAGCUUUCCUGGUGAAUUUGUGUGGUUCAGUUUUUCACUGCGUUCUCCAUUGCAUUCUUGCUUUUUCCUAAUUUGUUCACCGCACGUUAAAUUUGUAUGAUGAUUUGCUUCCAGAUCCAACGAUAAUUACGAGAACAGAUCCAAAAACAUAAUGUAUAACUUUUGAUCCUGAUAUGAGUUGCAUAAAAAGACAUGUUUGGAAAAUUUUAUAGGUCCAUGGCCAAUCUGAAUUCAUCUUGAACUUUUGAUUCUGUUAUUCUCUUCAUUUUUACAGUUGUGUAUAGUUUUCAUUCUAGUAAAUAAGAACAGGGGCCCCUCCUGCAUGGUUUCGGUGAGCUUGGAUAAUGAAAACAUUCGACCUUUACUGAACUUAUUUCAUUCAGUAAAAAUAUGUGAAUUGAGGACUACAUUGGUUCUCUUUCCUGUGGGUGGAGUAUUGUUUUUAUGCAUGGCAUUCGUUUUGAAGGAAUGCCUGGGCGUUAUUUUUCCUCAACUGAACUAUUUUGUAGCUUCAGUUAAGUUUUGAUUUGUCCCUACAUUCAUGUUCAUAGAGAAAUUGUAUUAUCAUGUCCAUCUAGAGUAUUGUGCUUUAGUAAGGGUUUAGGAAGUUUCUACUGGUUGUUUUUUGAUUCAGACAUGGGGCAUAAAAGUAACACUGCAUGUCUUAUGACUAAAUGAUAUGUAUCUAGGAUGCAAUUCGGUCGUUGAAAAGCAGCCGAGGAGAGGUCUAAAUAUUUUAUAAAUUUUGUUUUCCUAGCUACUGGUGCAUUACUCAUGAUUGUUGAAUUAAAUACCGCACCCUUUUAAAUUAAAUAUUAACAACAUUAGAGAAGCACGAUGUAAUCAAGUAGGGAAGAAACUAGAAUCUGCUACCAAUAUUCCGCUUGAUGUCAGAUUCAGUUUGCAAUUUUGGAAGUCCUGCCAAUUCAUGCUUUUGAGUUAUGACCAACAUAUCUACAUAUUUGUAGUAUCGAAAAGUAAUUAAUUAAUGUGUGCUCCUCCUUUUAAUUGAUUUCACUGAUCUUUCAUGUUUGCACCUGCCUGAUGACUGAUUGUUCUUUGUCUUCAUUGUUACUUGGUUAGUUAGUUAUAGCUUCAAGCAAAUUGGAAAAGCAUAGUAUGUGCAAUCAAGAUUCAGUGCCAGUGAUUCAAUAUAAAUCGAGUCAUGUUACUUUGGUAAAGGAGAACCACUGCUUGAGUUUCCAUACUAGCACAUGUGCUCCCCAAUGAAAAUUUAAGUCUUUAGUACAACCGGCUUGUGUGUUCUGCAUGAUUUUUCAUCGGUCGUUGUUUUUUUUUCGAAGAGGGGAGCGAUGCACACAAUCUUUAUGUGUGGACUCCACUAUUUUCUUUUCCUUUGCUCUAUCCAGUUGUCUAUGGUUAUCCAAAGAUUUGUACUUUUACUCUUUUAUAUUUAGCCUUUAACAUUCUUGCUAUGCUGUAAGAUGGAAAUACUUUCAUGCGACGCUUGCAUACUCUUAUGAACACUUUAACUUAAAAUUUCCAAUGAAAUAGAGUUGCAACAUAUCUUAGACUUGCACAAUAUAGGAAGUCUUUUAUUUGUAAGAUAGUUCAUUAAUUUCAGGCUCUGUUUUAUUGAUUCUGAACAUUUGCAUAUCUACUCCAUUCUAAGGGUACGAACGGGAUUACCAAUGUUACUCCUGAGGAAAUGAGAGGCAUUGUUGAAGUUAUAGGUGAAACAGGUUUUAUUGAUUCUGAGCAUUUCCAUAUGUACUCCAUUCUAGGGGUACCAACAGGAUUACCAAUGUUACUCCUGAGGAAAUCAGAGGUAUUAUUGAAGUUACAGGUGAAAGGGGAAAGUGUCGGUGUUAUACCUGGACCUGGAUGAAUUUACAAGCUCUUACUGUUAUUUAGAGAUUGUUUAAAUGUUGCAAGCAACUUCAUGCUUCAGAUUUCUGUUCAGGUCUACAUAUUAUAAUUCAGUUUUCUUGCUCGCAAGAAAUUGGCGGUAUUAUGUGUUCGAUAUAUCUUUGUGUAAACUUUCUAUCUCAAGGUUAAUACCUAGCAUUUGAAAACAAUUAAUAGUGGUGGUUUAGGGCUAAUCAAGCUUAUGCUGAUUCAAUCAUCCGCUUUUAGUUCUGAAGAGAUAGUUGCUGAUCAGAGGGGAUUGGGGCAAAAUAUAAUUUAUUAAGAAUGUGAGGUUUCCUUUUUAUUGGUAUUGUGAUUAACUUCCGCUUUUACGGGCAUGAAUUGAGUUUUGUCAAGAGGUUGCUGUCUCUUCAAUUGAUGCAGGCAUGAGAAGGUCUUAGGCGGAUAUUUUGGGGUUCAACUGAUGAUCUGAGAGGAUGUGCAUGAACAUAAUUCUUUGUCUCCAGAGACAUACUGAGAGCAGAAGCAUACUACUUUGUAUAGUACAAGCAAGAUGCUGCCUACAUAGGACCGACAUACUACCUUUUGCAUUAAGCAACAUUGUUGACACUGUUGUUCAGCCAAAGGCACGAAAAGAGUAAAAUCAAAGAAGUUUUCUCAUCAAUAGACGCUGGUGGUGUAUAAAUUAUGUAUUGUAGUUUCAGUUUGAUAUACAAAAUAAGUUAGUACACGAAUAUCUAACUGUAUGCAGCAUAGUUUCCAUUUAGUAUGUUUGGAGAGUAUGUAAUGCAACAUAGCUUCCCCAGUGUCUGAAGUUCUUUCUAGGAUGAUCAGUCCUUCAUCUUGAUA